AGAGUUUGAUCCUGGCUCAGGAUGAACGCUAGCGGCAGGCUUAACACAUGCAAGUCGAGGGGUAUAGGUUUUCGGACCUAGAGACCGGCGCACGGGUGCGUAACGCGUAUGCAAUCUACCUUUUACAGAGGGAUAGCCCAGAGAAAUUUGGAUUAAUACCUCAUAGUAUAGCUGAACCGCAUGGUUCUACUAUUAAAGUCACAACGGUAAAAGAUGAGCAUGCGUCCCAUUAGCUAGUUGGUAAGGUAACGGCUUACCAAGGCUACGAUGGUAGGGGUCCUGAGAGGGAGAUCCCCCACACUGGUACUGAGACACGGACCAGACUCCUACGGGAGGCAGCAGUGAGGAAUAUUGGUCAAUGGACGCAAGUCUGAACCAGCCAUGCCGCGUGCAGGAUGACGGUCCUAUGGAUUGUAAACUGCUUUUGCACAGGAAGAAACAACUCUACGUGUAGAGUCUUGACGGUACUGUGAGAAUAAGGAUCGGCUAACUCCGUGCCAGCAGCCGCGGUAAUACGGAGGAUCCAAGCGUUAUCCGGAAUCAUUGGGUUUAAAGGGUCCGUAGGCGGUUUAGUAAGUCAGUGGUGAAAGCCCAUCGCUCAACGGUGGAACGGCCAUUGAUACUGCUAGACUUGAAUUAUUAGGAAGUAACUAGAAUAUGUAGUGUAGCGGUGAAAUGCUUAGAGAUUACAUGGAAUACCAAUUGCGAAGGCAGGUUACUACUAAUGGAUUGACGCUGAUGGACGAAAGCGUGGGUAGCGAACAGGAUUAGAUACCCUGGUAGUCCACGCCGUAAACGAUGGAUACUAGCUGUUGGAAGCAAUUUCAGUGGCUAAGCGAAAGUGAUAAGUAUCCCACCUGGGGAGUACGUUCGCAAGAAUGAAACUCAAAGGAAUUGACGGGGGCCCGCACAAGCGGUGGAGCAUGUGGUUUAAUUCGAUGAUACGCGAGGAACCUUACCAAGGCUUAAAUGUAGAUUGACCGGUUUGGAAACAGACUUUUCGCAAGACAAUUUACAAGGUGCUGCAUGGUUGUCGUCAGCUCGUGCCGUGAGGUGUCAGGUUAAGUCCUAUAACGAGCGCAACCCCUGUUGUUAGUUGCCAGCGAGUCAUGUCGGGAACUCUAACAAGACUGCCAGUGUAAACUGUGAGGAAGGUGGGGAUGACGUCAAAUCAUCACGGCCCUUACGCCUUGGGCUACACACGUGCUACAAUGGCCGGUACAGAGAGCAGCCACUGGGCGACCAGGAGCGAAUCUACAAAACCGGUCACAGUUCGGAUCGGAGUCUGCAACUCGACUCCGUGAAGCUGGAAUCGCUAGUAAUCGGAUAUCAGCCAUGAUCCGGUGAAUACGUUCCCGGGCCUUGUACACACCGCCCGUCAAGCCAUGGAAGCUGGGGGUGCCUGAAGUCGGUGACCGCAAGGAGCUGCCUAGGGUAAAACUGGUAACUAGGGCUAAGUCGUAACAAGGUA
rnacentral:rRNA from 1 species